CGGACGGGUGAGUAAUGUAUGGGGAUCUGCCUGAUGGCGGGGGAUAACUACUGGAAACGGUAGCUAAUACCGCAUAACGUCGCAAGACCAAAGAGGGGGACCUUCGGGCCUCUUGCCAUCGGAUGUGCCCAGAUGGGAUUAGCUUGUAGGUAAGGUAACGGCUUACCUAGGCGACGAUCCCUAGCUGGUCUGAGAGGAUGAUCAGCCACACUGGGACUGAGACACGGCCCAG
rnacentral:rRNA from 1 species